UGAAAGAGAGGCUUAACGCACUCAAAGACAAACAUGAAUGUAAGGUUUCUUCAGUUAUCCUUUUCCCAUCCAAGAUUAAUGCGCAAGAAAGCACUCAUGUAAUGGAGAACAAAAGUUGUGGAUGUGAGGGGAAAAGGUUUGGUUCUUGGAGUUGAACAUGUCAUAGAUUGUGAACUUAAAACACCAGCAAAAGAUGAAACAUUGCAUGUGAUGGACCAAAUGAAAGAUUUCCUAGUGGAUGCUAUGGAUUUCUUGUAGAUGCUAUGGACUACACAUUAGAUGUCGAAUAUACAUGUAUUUCUAGUAGAUAAUGGUAUGUUAUUAUCUAUAGAUAAUGUUAUGUUAUUAACUAUAUAAGCAAAAUUCAUUAGGAAAUCCAUAGCAUUUGAUGUUACGUUAUUAUCUAUAUAUACACUCAAGCAAAAUUCAUAAAAUAUACAUGUAUGCUUAUAUAGUAUCCAACAGCCAACGUGGA